AUGGCUUUUUGCUCGGCUGUUGUACCCAUUAAGAGUCUCAUCUUGGCGAACGAAAGUGCGCGAAACAGCAGUUCCAUCGAUGGAACACGUCCAAGCAUUGGCUUCUUUGCUCUUUCAUCACAACACCAUACAUCAACAAAUGAUGAAAUGGAAACUUUAUCAGAAGAAGUGUUCACAACUGGAGCUGGGUAUAUCA